UACACACAAGAAGGCCCUGAGGCAUUAUAAUUUGAGGCAUUAUAAGCAAAUUAAGAACACUCAAAAGAAGCUGAUGAAAGAAGAUGUCUAUCAGAUAUGUUUGCCUUGAAUUUCCUGAUGGACUGUAACAAUUUACCUCAUUGGACCCUUGUACACAAGCAUCAGGGACUAAGUGCACUGACCACCACCUUUCAGUCUGACAACCUGUCUCAGUGUUGAAAAACAGUUCAAGGUAGCACUCUAGACCAAACGUGUCAUUUUCCUUGUCAAAAUGAAAACUGUAAAUUUUAAACUUAA